GCUUGCAAAAUUAUUGCUACUAGUAACUCUUAUCCAGAUGCAUCUUCCUCAUUUUUUUUCCACCUCAUUCUCUUUCUUCUCUUUUUUGUUUGCGAUUUCUUCAACUGUUAUCUUUCUCAUUUUUUCCGUUCCUUUUUUCCCUGUCUAUUUUCUUGCUUUUACGAUUUCCUCAGUGAAAUAAUGGGCCGCAAACCCUACACUGAAAAUACUUCUCAAAAUUUCUCACCGCCUAAUUCUUUUCCCAGCCUAAUUCUCACCAUCUCUCUCAAUUCUCAAAAUUCUCACCGCCAAUCUCUCUCCCUAAAGAAACCCUAAACCUCCCCCUCUCUCGUAUCAUCUCUCACGAAACCAUCUGCUGCUCUCUGAUUCAUUUCAUCCCUGCGCCUUCGAACAGUUAUUAGCGGCGAGAUUCGAUCAGAGGAACAAACGCUGCCGCGCAAAGCUUCUCGAAGAGCAGAUUGUUUAAAUUGAGAGAAUGAGUAAUUGGAUCCCUUGAAGCCGAGACUCUAGUGAAUGAACUGCUUCUGGACUUUUGUAAUGAAUUAUGUAGAUAUGUGAUCCAUAUUUGAGUGGAAUGUUGAGUUGGUUAACUGCUUUCGUGAUUGAGAUUGCAUUGAGUUCGAUGCAAUUGUGAUGUUCAUUUGAUGUUGUUUACUCUUUACAUUGUAAACUGGAAAUUAAUAAAUUAAAUCAUUAGUAGCAUUAGAUAAUUGAGUUAACCAUACAUUAAACAAUAUUGAGAAAUAGGGAGGUGACGUUUAGCUAUAUGUUAGCUAUGGAUUGCUCACUGCUCACUUACAAUUAUAUUUUUUUAUAGUCAUCCGUUCAUUGUUAAACCCAUCUCUAGUCAAAAUUUUGACUGGAAUAGAAAGGUUGAUUAAAUUUUAUAAGAAAAGUUAAGAAACAGAACCAUAAAUAUAGGUAUUGAUUAUUGAAGGAGAUUCACUAUUGCUCCAGCUAUGUUUAUGUGUUGUUUCUCACAAUCAUAAAAAACACAUUAGUAUUGAUCCCAUAUCUUCAUGUGAUUGUACAUAAAAAUGGAGUAUAAAAUAUAUCAUGUUGCAGAUUUGUGCUUCCGUUAGAGGGCACAAAGUUAUAUAACUAACCCAAUAAAAUCAACUCACCUCGUUUUUCAUUGAUUAGGAGCUGCCAACUGUGUGAAUACUACAAAAUCCUCAAUCGGUUUACACACUUAUCUGAUUUCUAGGUGAAAUUAUGAUUUGUUUACUUCUAUGUAAAUUGUAACGAUGUGAAAAACUUGGAGAAAUUUUCAAAGGGCAGGAAAUCGAAAAAUUGCGGGAGCUGGUAAAGGUCCGUAGUCAACAAAUUCAAGAGAGGAGGAGAAGAAGUGCAUAGAUUUAGGGAGUGUUAGGUUUGACAUCUAUGUUUAUGGAAGAAAAGGGAGUUUUUUUUUUCUAUUCUAGCUUCAUGGUCUGCAAGUUAUGAAAUAGUGGUGUUUGACAGUUAUCAUUUUGGAAGAUUCAAAUCAUUCGUUUGGUUUGAAGUGUAAAACUAUAUUUUUAAUUUUAUGUAAAAUUUAAAUUUUGUCA